CUACGGGAGGCUGCAGUUAGGCAUAAUCUACAAUGCGCGGAAGCGUGAUAGUUUGAGCCAGAGUGUUUUGCAAUUGCAAGACUUUUGCCAAAUCUAAAAAUUUUGGCGAAUAAGGACUGGGUAAGACGGGUGCCAGCCGCCGCGGUAAUACCCGCGGUCCAAGUCGCAGCCAUUUUUAUUGGGUCUAAAACAUCCGUAGCUUGUUUAGUAAGUUUCUUGUGAAAUCCGGUUUCUCAAGAAUUGGGCGGGCAAGAAGUACUGCUAAGCUAGAGACUGGGAGACGUAAGGAGUACGUUCGGGUAUCGGUAAAAUGAGUUAAUCCCGGACGGACUAACAAUUAGCGAAGGCAUCUUACGAGAACAGUUCUGACAGUAAGGGAUGAAGGCUAGGGGCGCAAAACGGAUUAGAUACCCCUGUAGUC
rnacentral:rRNA from 1 species